UUUUUGUUUGCAUGUAUGUACAUAAAGUCUCCAAUUUAUUGUCAUAGUUAGUGUUAUUGUUAUUGCCGAGUGUAUUUUAUUUUUAGCUCCAAGCUGCCUAGACUAGAAAGUGAAAAGUGCGCAGAUAGAAAGCACGAAUUACCGUAUUCAAUGUCUUCGUGAACUUCUACUUGAGCCAACACAUGACAUGCGCAUGUUUUGGUGCUGUUCGAAGCUUUCAAGGCAACUGGAUGCCACUCCGAGGAUCAUUGAGUAUAAAAUGCCGAGUGAUGUGCUAUAAGCAUGCCGAAUGAAUCAUUCCAAUAACAUGGAAUUAAGCUGCCGCGUCAUGUUUCAAUGCGACCCUCAAGCCGCCCCAGUGAUGUUGUGUGUGUGUGUGCGUGUGUGUGUGUGUGUGUAAGGCGAGCUUGUUGUCCACGUCCGUGUGGGAAGAGAAAUGACUCAUUGAGCGCGCUCCCCUCUGCUCCCCAUGGUCAAUGUCUAAUUCCAAUGAUAAGCACGAUUCGCUCUCGGCUAAACAGCCGCUGGAAUGCGCACUCGAGCCAGAAUUUAUUUAUGGUUGAGUCAUUGGACAAUUCAUUGGGUUUUUAUCAGUAUCAACAAAUGAAAUGCACAUUAAUUUCAUAUUUUUAUUUAGUUGCUGACAAACAAAUGUUUAUCACUCAAUUUAGUUAAUCGCUAUGUGUGUAUGUGUGUAGAUAUGUGCAUAUGUGUGCAUGUAUGCCUUUGUUUUUGUUGCUUUAAUAUUUAUUGGCGGCCUGGGCAAUUGUAAUGGACGUGAGUGUUCACAUAUUUAUAUCUAUGAUAACGGCAACAAGGCGCCCCUAGCUGCUGCUGGGCCAGUGUUGCCAUAUCUUUAAAUAAGCAACACACUUAAGUUAAGUAUGUGCGCGUAAGUGUAAGUGAUAUGCAUGUGUGUGCGUGUGUGCGUGUGUGUGCCCGCAUGAGAUAGCUUUCAGUACAAAGCCCAGUUCCGUUAUAGAUCAGCGUCAUAUCCGCUGAUUGGAACGCCUGAAAGUGCGACAACUUAUGGAUUCUGUUGACAAUAAAUGCUUAAGGCGACGCCUUCACGCAAUGCUUGCCACGUGCAGCGCCUCAUUUUCAAUUUGGGUGUGACCAGUUCCUCCUGUUGCACGCACGUCACAGCCCACACUAAUGCACACACACACACACACACACACACACACACACACACACACACGCACGCACUCAGGCACACGCAGGGAUUCACGUGCGUUUAUUUUUUUCAAUUUGUUUAAUUGCUGACCAGCGGCAGAGUUGCCAACUUUAUUUGAAUUUGUUGUCUGUUUAAUUGAUGUUGUUCACACGCACACACACUCACACACACACACACACACACACACACACACACACACACAACAGCGCACGCCCAGCUGUUAGCGGUGAACCGUAACAACCCUGCGAAAAGCUUCAGCAAAGCCGCCGACCCAAAAUUCACCUGGAAUGGGAACAGCAAUGCGAGUGGGAAUGGAAAUGGGAAUUAGAUCGUGUGUGAGUGGGCGGCGCUCUACACAAACGUUUGCGCCAGUACACGCUACAUAUCCUUUUCGCAGCUCGCAGUUCCCAUCCCAGAUUGACGCUAAUCAGAUACUUACUAUGCCCAGCGAGGCGACGUUACGACGUUACGACGUUAAAAAAUGGCAAACAACAACAUCAAAAUAAUGGAAAAUCCAGUCAGACGCCGGCAUCAGGUUCGCUCACAGUCGGAGUCUCGCCGACGCUGAUGCCGCAGUAUGAAAAAAAAAAUAAAAAUAAAAUAAUAACAAAGUAGCUAAAUAAAAAAAGUAAGAGUGCAGCCUGACGAAUGCCCGACUGGCAGAUGCCCUGCAUCCAUGCAGACUUAGCUUUAUGCACGCUAAUGCAAACAUGAAAGAAACAUUCUUGAAA